rnacentral:rRNA from 1 species
CCUACGGGGGGCUGCAGUGGGGAAUUUUGGACAAUGGGCGCAAGCCUGAUCCAGCCAUUCCGCGUGAGUGAAGAAGGCCUUCGGGUUGUAAAGCUCUUUCGCAAGGGAAGAAAACUUAUCCUCUAACAUAGGAUGAGGUUGACGGUACCUUGAUAAGAAGCACCGGCUAACUACGUGCCAGCAGCCGCGGUAAUACGUACGGUGCGAGCGGGCGUCAGGAUUACUGAGCGUAAAGUGUACGCAGGCUGUGAAAUCCCCGAGCUCAACUUGGGAACUGCGUUUGAAACGACAAGACUAGAAUAGGUCAGAGGGGGGUAGAAUUCCACGUGUAGCAGUGAAAUGCGUAGAGAUGUGGAGGAAUAUCAAUGGCGAAGGCAGCCCCCUGGGAUCAUAUUGACGCUCAUGCACGAAAGCGUGGGGAGCAAACAGGAUUAGAUACCCCUGUAGUC